rnacentral:rRNA from 1 species
AACGAACGCUGGCGGCAGGCCUAACACAUGCAAGUCGAGCGAGAUCUUCGGGUCUAGCGGCGGACGGGUGAGUAACGCGUGGGAAUAUGCCCUUCUCUGCGGAAUAGCCUCGGGAAACUGAGCGUAAUACCGCAUACGCCCUUUGGGGGAAAGAUUUAUCGGAGAAGGAUUAGCCCGCGUUGGAUUAGGUAGUUGGUGGGGUAACGGCCUACCAAGCCGACGAUCCAUAGCUGGUUUGAGAGGAUGAUCAGCCACACUGGGACUGAGACACGGCCCAGACUCCUACGGGAGGCAGCAGUGGGGAAUCUUAGACAAUGGGGGCAACCCUGAUCUAGCCAUGCCGCGUGAGUGAUGAAGGCCUUAGGGUUGUGAAGCUCUUUCAGCUGGGAAGAUAAUGACGGUACCAGCAGAAGAAGCCCCGGCUAACUCCGUG